CCUGGGGAUAAAAAAAAAAAAAGGAAGGUGGGAGAGGGAAAAGUUACUUUUCAAGGUCAAAACGGGAAAAAGAGGCUGCCACUCCAAAUGAAAAGGCCUCGUGUAAUUAAAAACGCAUUCAACAACCUUUAUUAAUAAAUACAGAGGGGGGGGAAACUCGUGUGAGACCAAUCCCAGGCAGCACAGAAAUAUGUAAAUAUCUCAGCGUGGCUGGAUCUCGUAUCUCCAGAGAAUGAGGGCUUCUAUAAGUUUGCCCUUUCCAGACAGGCUCUUCAAGUAAGAAAACAAGAUUGAAUAUUUUAAUAGGAUGUACGAGGCCACGGAGCCGUAAGGAGGAUUCAAUCACAGCCUACGUGGGACUGUAAUUUAGUUUUCAUACAUUUUCUUGGACAGCACUUGAAAAACAAUGAAAAUGACCCAGCAACAAGAUUCCAAUUAAUAUCCCACGUGCAGCAAUUGUGAUAACAGGAGCAAAUUUCCCUUUAAAAAAAAAAAAGGGAAAAAAAAAAGUGGGGCUGGUGUUAUCUUUAAUUUUAGAACCAGGGUAACCUGAGCUGGGGGAGAGGUAUUUCUGCCUUAUUUUGUAUAAAUGCAUUUUCUGAAGCAGCAGCCUUUUGUCAGGGGCUGCACACACAGAGCAGGGUGUUGAUUACAUGGGGGGGUGGGAUUUUCCCUUGCAAGAACAGUAACAACCCCAGGGUUAUGAGUGAGAACCAAGUGAUCCCAUUGCCUCAAACCACCCUAAAGGCAUUCUGGAAAACCCAAAGGGGAUUUUCUCCAGAACAGGCUCCCCUCUCCAGGUCUCCAGGCCCUUCUCCUUUACACGUUCACUCAUUUCUUACAUCCCCAGCAAUGUGAGAAAGCUCAAACACAACAUGUGCACACUGGGAGACCCCAAAAAAACCACCAAAGACAGCAAGAGCUGCUGUGUUUGCAGGCAAAACCCCAGAGUGCUGUUCCUUUACAGCCUGCCUUGGCCUUUCCCACUGCAGGAGAACCCAAGGAGAAUUCCUCAGGUUUCUCAUUUUGGUGAGUUUGACACUGUCCUGUGGGUACAGGAGUUCAGGGAUAGAUGCUGAAUUUGCUCCAAUCCCACAGAUUUUAAACAAACAGCCAUUUUUCAGGCAAGCAGGGCCCGGGGAGAUCUCAGGUGAGGAUUUGUCUCUGCUGGCAGAGGAGUGUUUGCCAGCACAGACAGGUUGUGACGUGGACACUCCAGGUUUUGGGGGGCACAGGGGGCUCCCCUGCACCCCACAGCCUCAUCCUCCCAGGCACAGCAACCUCUGAGGAAGCAGAAAUCCAAGUGGAGCUGUUUGGAUAACACAACAUGGACAGACACCCCAGCAGAGUGACAGGAGGAGGAGGGAAAUCAGGCUCCCUUUCUUUUACAGCCUCUCCCCUCAGCAGGAUUCAACCAUGCAGAGAGUAAAACUCAUCAAUCCUCCAGGUUUAACCUUGUCUCUGUUUCAAUUCACCAGGAUAUGAAACAUCAGACUUGAGCCACUGAGUUGUAACAACCCCACUGCAAGUGUGUCACCUGCAGCUGGAGGAAAGGUGACUUUAGCACAAAGAGGGUCUGGAGGCAGCAUGUGCUGAGGAAUAACCUGUGCAGGUAAUUAAGAGUACUCACACCUCAGGUGGGGAGUGUGGAAGAAGCAGGUCGAUACAGGGGUCUUCCUUGAAUUAAAAUUUAACUUACCCUUUAUUGCAACCUACAAAAGCAAGUAAUGAGCACUAACAUUUUUAUUUCUUUUAAACUGUCAUUUAGGCUGUAGAGGGGAUAAUUACCUAUUUCCACUGUAGUAAGGUUUUAUCACCCUUAGUGAGGCAUUUUCUAAUUUAAUAUUUUUACUGUAUUAUCAUAAAACCUGUUUCUGGAAAAAAAUGAUCACGGACCACGGAGCCAUUUGCCAUAAAACAUGUGUGUGUAAGUACCUUGGCUUAAUUAUUUAUGCAUUUCUUCUGAGCUGGCUCCAGAGCCAGGGGACAGCACAGGCACUGUGUCACCUCCCCACCACGAAAACUGGGCUUUUCAGGUCAACAAUAUUGUUUUAAAAUAUGAAAUAAAAGGAGCAGCUACUCCAGGUGGUGAGCCUGGUGUGCUAAAUGCCCACUGGGCUUUUCUCCCCCUCCAAACCCCAGGUAUUGCUGCUACACACAUUUUAUAGGCAAAAUCCCUGCAACAGAGACCAAGGAAACACACACAGAGUGAAUAUUAAUUGCAACAGCACAUUUCAUAAAUCUAUAUGAAUCUUCAAAAUUCUAAACAGAUCCCCAGGAAGGUGCUUUGCCCACCAAAUGUACAAAGGGAAACCAAAUGUGUACCUGCACGUGGGAAAAGCCAGUAUUGUACCACUCUGUGUAAUUAUAGUCAUUUUUCUAAAUACAGUUCUGUGAACUAACAGAAGAACAAUAUUAUGGGGGAAAAUUCAGUUUCUGGUGGCUUUUUUUUUAUUAUUAUUAAAAUGGCAAUAGUGCUCUUCUAGUAAAAAUACCCUCCAACCAAUGUCUCUGCCUUCUCCCUUGUACCUUUUACUUCUUCUUCCUCUACCCAAAAAAAAAAGAUAAUUUAGAAAAUGCCACAAGCAGUACUGAAAUGACUAUAUAACCCACUCCUCCACUGGGAACGAUGAAUUCUUAAUUCACAAAAACUGGAAAAAGACAGAACAUGAACACCCAUGAAGAAAGGGAGCACGAAAGAAUGGAAAACACACGACUCCUGAUGAAAACUGAAGCUGGCAGAUUGUUUCCUUGGAAAACUUUCUGUCUGUACCCUAAGAAAUGUUUUGUCCAGUGGUGUGAAAUUCAGGUUACUCAGUGUCCAGCAAGCUGGGCAGGUACCAGGAAGAUAAAAUAAAGCUGAAGCUUUUUUUUUUUCUUAAUGAUUUUUUUAAAAUGAUUUUUCGUAAAAAUGAUUUUUUUUUUCUUAAAAAAUGGAAUAAAAGGAGUGGCUACUCCAGGUGAGCUUGGUGUGCUAAAUGCCCAGUGGGUUUUACCCCCCUCCAAAUCCCAGGUAUCGCUGCUACACGCACCCUAUAGGCAACAGGAAAGAGACCAGGAAGAUAAAACAAGCUGAGACCAUUUAUUUUUUUAAUUUCUAGAGAAAGGCUAAAGCAGCCUUAAUUUCCAGUCAAACCCCAAACCAGCUGGGUGUGGGGUUUGGCUCUGUAUUCCCACCCCUUCCCACUCCGGCUCUGCGGGGACAAGCCCUUGGGGUGCUGGGUGACGUGGGGAUCCCAAAAGCAGGACUCAGACCCCCUGGAGUGGCACAGGGAGGGCCCCGGGGCUCUGUGUCCAGCCCCACGAGAUGGCACUCACUCCCUUCCCAAGCCCUGAGUGCUCAGCUCCGGCUGCAUCCCCCCUGCCCGCGCUCCAGGGGGGCUCACAAAGGUCUCCUGCAAUUCCCUCCAGCCCAGGAGGGUCAGGAUCGGGCCCCCCCCCUUCCCCCGAGCCUGUGCAAAUGCUUUUAGCCCCACGGCUUUGAAUUAUGGAAGGUGACAUGUGACCUCUGGCUCGUCUCCUGAGAGCAGGCACAGGAUUUAUAAAUGUUUCAGAAAGCUGGUUCUUGCCCUAAACAAAGGGACUCUGCACGUUUUGAGAGGCUGGAUCUGGGAAUGUGGAGUGGGAGGGCAGCAGAGAGAUGGAGGGCUGGUGCCCAAGGUACCAUUCCCCAAACACAACCAGACCUGGGGUUCAUCCCUGCUGCCCCUGCCACCAAUUCUGAACGUUCCCCUCACCCCAGCCUUGAGCUCAGGGUACCACUGAUGGAGCACAGAUGGACCCUCUCUCAUCCUGACUUUGGUCCCAGUUGCAUUUUCGUAGGAGCUUUUACAGCACAAAGCAUAAAAGAUGUGGGCAAAUUGGCUGGAGAGGCAGCAAAACACAGGGAUGUGCAGGCAACUCCAGCUUGCUCCUCUGGUAUGUGUUCCAGCAGCUGGAAUUUCCCCAGGAAUUACAUCAGAUGCCCUCUCAGUCAGUUUUUGGAUGGGUAUUUGAGCAGAGCAGCCUCUGAUGCUGCAUGGGAAAUGCCCUGUGCAGGAGAGCAGGAGGGGACCAUUCUUUGUGCCCCUUAAUGCCCCAUAUUCCUGGGAUGAUUUCCCUCUUUCACAGCUUGCCUGUUUUAUAACAGAUUUGAUGCAGGAGAAGACAAAUUGUCUCACAAAGGAAAGACGACAAAUCAUCUCGCAGCCCUUUAACAGGUUAUUUUUUUUCC